rnacentral:rRNA from 1 species
UACGGAGGGUGCAAGCGUUAUCCGGAUUUAUUGGGUUUAAAGGGUCCCGUAGGCGGGCCGAUAAGUCAGUGGUGAAAUCUCGCAGCUUAACUGUGAAACUGCCAUUGAUACUGUUGGUCUUGAGUAAAUUUGAAGUGGCUGGAAUAAGUAGUGUAGCGGUGAAAUGCAUAGAUAUUACUUAGAACACCAAUUGCGAAGGCAGGUCACUAAGAUUUAACUGACGCUGAUGGACGAAAGCGUGGGGAGCGAACAGGAUUAGAUACCCGCGUAGU